CCCAUCUGCCCAGUUCUCAGAUUCCUUCCCUGAUACCUCUGGAUUUUAUUUUUCCAUAUGACUUUAAUAGCUGGAGAACAUGAAGAAAAGCAACGAGCUUUCUGAAAGACGGGGGAUCACACUUACCAGCUGGAACUGCUGAAGAAUCGCAAACUAAAGGAUUAUUCAAAUGAACUCAAGUCAACUGAGCUCACAAACUCUUGUGGAAAUUCUCAUGAGGGUUCAAAGGAGCAAACAUCCCAGCAACUAGAGAGUGAUUUCUUGGAACCACUGCAUCCUGUUGGCCUGAGGGAGUCGGGAGCCUCUGGCUGAUUAGAGGAAGCCCCAUAUCCGAUUCCAACCCCCCUGCCCUGUUCAAUGUUGCUACCCAGGUUUAAUACCUUAAUACCUCAGCCUCCUGAUCAUGGACCUUUGCUAUAAAAGUGUUUGCUCGAUUACCAAGGAAUGCCGGAGCUCUCUGUAGGCGCCAAUGUCGGAUCCUAGACAGGAAAACAGCCAUCUGCAUCGGUGCAGAAUCAAAAGUGUUUUAUAAAAUUUUCUUGGUGAUUUUUAAGUUUUGGUUACUUCUCAUAAAUUUGUUUUACAGCUAGAGACUUUUUCAUGCCGUAAAUAUGUAAACAUAUAUUUUAGGUUUAUGAGUAAGCCAUGUUUGCACACCAGGUCUGUUCAAUCCAUCAUCCAAAAAGGAAAAUCAAAACUAAAUCUACCAAGACAGGACCAUCCACCUAGAGCAGCAGAGAAGGUAAGAAAUGACUUAGUAGAUGACGCAUGCAACCCUGAUGAAGAUGCAGAGAUUCUCAGCUAAGAUGGGAGAAUCUGUAAACAAGAUGAUGAGUCUUAUACUGCACAAAUCUGGCCUUUAUGUUUCAGUGAUAAGGAGGGGCCAACUGUUUAAGCAAACUUCUGAUCAGCUGGGACCGAAACUAAACUUUCUGGCCUACAUACAAUAUGCUAAGUGUGGAGGUAAAUAAACAGUUCACAUCUGUAUUUAGAUGAAUACAUGACAAUCCUGAAAGACAACCUGAAAGAGGGGUUAAAAUUUAAAUGGAGGUUCACCAGUGAGACAACAAUCUUAAAUAUCCAGGCAGAGCUACUAUGGGUUGGUUUAGGCUACAGCAUUUUAAUGUGUUGAAUAAUAGUCAAAUUUACUUAAAAUGUGUGGCGAGACUUAAAAAAUGUACUAUUAGAGACUACUAUAUUACAUAAAAAUAUCUUUCCAAUAACACAAAAACUUAAAUGUAAUGAAAAUCAUAUGAUUUUGAAUUCUAACAAUUUUGAGUUAUUUUAAAGUUUUGGUUGCUCCUCAUAUAAUCAGCACUGUUUGUUGUGCAAACUGGAAUCUUUUCAGCCACAAACCUGUAAAUAUGUCUUUUAGAUUGAUGGAUGUUGCCAGACUUGCAAAAACCUGUACAACAACAUGCUUCUGCAACAUGCUUCUGUUUUUUUCUCUCUCUCUCUCCAUCUUCCUUGCCUGUGUUUAACCAGAGGGAAAUAGUGCAGAGAACUAAUUACACAAACAAAAUUCCUCUGCCAUAUUUUUUUUCCAGAGGAUAUGAUUUCAGCAGCUUCAGAUUGUGACUCAGAUUGAUUUGUCUCCUUGCAGCAUUUAUAGUAAUGCAAAGCUCUAACAUUUUCCUGCUUUUUUUUUUUUUUUUUUUUCAGAAAAGCUGUGUGUUCAGUCUCAUAUUCAACUUGAUGAUCCUGACUUUGUGCUUAGAAUAUUGUUUUUUUGAGGAGAAACUAUGCUAAGUGGCAGUCCAUUUUUAUGUAUCUCUAAUUAAAUCUUCUAAUGUG